AUUGAACGCUGGCGGCAUGCUUUACACAUGCAAGUCGAACGGCAGCGCGGGCUUCGGCCUGGCGGCGAGUGGCGAACGGGUGAGUAAUACAUCGGAACGUGCCCAGUAGUGGGGUAUAGCUCGGCGAAAGCCGGAUUAAUACCGCAUACGACCUGAGGGUGAAAGCGGGGGAUCUUCGGACCUCGCGCUAUUGGAGCGGCCGAUGGCAGAUUAGCUAGUUGGUGGGGUGAAGGCCUACCGAGGCGACGAUCUGUAGCUGGUCUGAGAGGACGACCGGCCACCCGGGGAGUGAACCGCGGACCAGAGUACUAAGGGAGGGAGCAGUGGGGAAUGGUGGACAACGGGGGGAAGCAUGGUACAGUGAGGCGGCGCGUGUGAUGACGGCCUUGGGGUUGUAAAGACGUUUUGCCGGGUACAAACAGGAUUGUGCCAAUACCACGGUUGGGUGACGGUACCGGGUGAAUAAGCACCGGCUAACUACGUG
rnacentral:rRNA from 1 species